rnacentral:rRNA from 1 species
AGGAUGAACGCUAGCUACAGGCUUAACACAUGCAAGUCGAGGGGAAACGACAUCGAAAGCUUGCUUUUGAUGGGCGUCGACCGGCGCACGGGUGAGUAACGCGUAUCCAACCUGCCCACCACUUGGGGAUAACCUUGCGAAAGUAAGACUAAUACCCAAUGACGUCUCUAGAAGACAUCUGAAGGAGAUUAAAGAUUUAUCGGUGAUGGAUGGGGAUGCGUCUGAUUAGCUUGUUGGCGGGGUAACGGCCCACCAAGGCUACGAUCAGUAGGGGUUCUGAGAGGAAGGUCCCCCACAUUGGAACUGAGACACGGUCCAAACUCCUACGGGAGGCAGCAGUGAGGAAUAUUGGUCAAUGGACGAGAGUCUGAACCAGCCAAGUAGCGUGCAGGAUGACGGCCCUAUGGGUUGUAAACUGCUUUUAUAAGGGAAUAAAGUGAGUCUCGUGAGACUUUUUGCAUGUACCUUAUGAAUAAGGACCGGCUAAUUCCGUGCCAGCAGCCGCGGUAAUACGGAAGGUCCGGGCGUUAUCCGGAUUUAUUGGGUUUAAAGGGAGCGUAGGCCGGAGAUUAAGCGUGUUGUGAAAUGUAGAUGCUCAACAUCUGAACUGCAGCGCGAACUGGUUUCCUUGAGUACGCACAAAGUGGGCGGAAUUCGUGGUGUAGCGGUGAAAUGCUUAGAUAUCACGAAGAACUCCGAUUGCGAAGGCAGCUCACUGGAGCGCAACUGACGCUGAAGCUCGAAAGUGCGGGUAUCGAACAGGAUUAGAUACCCUGGUAGUCCGCACGGUAAACGAUGGAUGCCCGCUGUUGGUCUGAAUAGGUCAGCGGCC